rnacentral:rRNA from 1 species
UACGUAGGUGACAAGCGUUAUCCGGAUUUAUUGGGCGUAAAGCGCACGCAGGCGGUCUAUCAAGUCUGACGUGAAAUCUCUCGGCUUAACCGGGAGCGGUCGUUGGAAACUGAUGGACUUGAGGCGAUGAGAGGGGUGUGGAAUUCCCGGUGUAGUGGUGGAAUGCGUAGAGAUCGGGAGGAACACCUGUGGCGAAGGCGGCCGACUGGGCCGACCCUGACGCUGAGGCGCGAAGGCGUGGGGAGCGAACGGGG